AUUGAACGCUGGCGGAAUGCUUUACACAUGCAAGUCGAACGGCAGCACGGGGGCAGCCCUGGUGGCGAGUGGCGAACGGGUGAGUAAUACAUCGGAACGUGCCCGGUCGUGGGGGAUAACGUAACGAAAGGUACGCUAAUACCGCAUACGAUCUGAGGAUGAAAGCGGGGGACCUUCGGGCCUCGCGCGAUCGGAGCGGCCGAUGUCAGAUUAGGUAGUUGGUGGGGUAAAGGCCUACCAAGCCGACGAUCUGUAGCUGGUCUGAGAGGACGACCAGCCACACUGGGACUGAGACACGGCCCAGACUCCUACGGGAGGCAGCAGUGGGGAAUUUUGGACAAUGGGCGCAAGCCUGAUCCAGCCAUUCCGCGUGCAGGACGAAGGCCUUCGGGUUGUAAACUGCUUUUGUACGGAACGAAAAGGCUCUGGCUAAUACCUGGGGCUCAUGACGGUACCGUAAGAAUAAGCACCGGCUAACUACGUG
rnacentral:rRNA from 1 species